UGAAACUACAGAGCACUUACCUGUACCAGGCUCUGUGAGGACAGAAACUUUACAUGUAUCGCACUUCACUUGAUCCUCACCACAACCCUUUAAGCAUCACACAUAUGAUCUGAUCACUACUAUCAGAGGAGCCUAAGAAGCAGCCAGUCAAACACAGAUGCUUGUUCCCCAAACGGUCAUAACUGCUGAGACCUUAUCGGAAAUCAAGCUUUGGUUAAGUUACAAAGCGCUACUGAAUUCACAGCCCCGAGAAAGGACC